rnacentral:rRNA from 1 species
CGCGGUACCCUAACCGUGCAAAGGUAGUAUAAUCACUUGUUCUUUAAAUAAGGACUUGUAUCAACGGCAUCACGAGGGUUCUACUGUCUCCUCUCUCCAAUCAGUGAAACUGAUCUCCCCAUGAAAAAGUGGGGAUAAACUUAUAAGACGAGAAGACCCCAUGGAGCUUUAAAACCUAUAGCAACCUAGCAAACACUUCCAUCUAGCUAUAAAAUAAUGCUCAAGGACUUUAGGUUGGGAGGACCACGGAGCACAAAAUAACCUCCGUAAUGAAAAGAAUAAGAUCUUUACCAAAGAGCCACAACUCUAAGAAUUAGAAAACUAACGUACAUGACCCGAUAUCGAUCAAUGAACUAAGUUACCCUGGGGAUAACAGCGCAAUCCACUCUGAGAGUUCAUAUCGACGAGCGGGCUUACGACCUCGAUGUUGGAUCAGGGUAUCCUGGUGGUGCAGCCGCUACCGAAGGUUCGUUUGUUCAAC